UACGGAGGGGGCUAGCGUUGUUCGGAAUUACUGGGCGUAAAGCGCACGUAGGCGGCUUUGUAAGUUAGAGGUGAAAGCCCGGAGCUCAACUCCGGAAUUGCCUUUAAGACUGCAUCGCUAGAAUUGUGGAGAGGUAAGUGGAAUUCCGAGUGUAGAGGUGAAAUUCGUAGAUAUUCGGAAGAACACCAGUGGCGAAGGCGACUUACUGGACACAUAUUACGCUGAGGUGCGAAAGCGUGGGGAGCAAACAGG
rnacentral:rRNA from 1 species